rnacentral:lncRNA from 1 species
AAGGAAUUCUGCCUCCAGACUGUCUUCAGACUCAAGACAGCAGCAUCAACUCUUCCCUGGGUCUCCAGCCUGCUGGCCUGCCCUGCAAAUUUCAGACUUGCCAGCCCCCACAAUCACUUAGGAAUAUGGAUGUGAUGGCUGUGGCUGCAGCAGCUACCUUGGGAUCAGGAGAGAAAGGAUAUGGGAACUGCAAAGACCUCAGCUCUGAAAUCUUUGAGCCCCUUAACCAAGGCCAGCACUACUUACCUCUGGGCUUCUUGAAUGACAUUAAACAGCAAAUAAAAAACGCCAUGACAAGUGGAGAGAGAGAGGGAGAGACUGUGGAAGAAAGGAAAAAGCUCAAUGUUGAAGUCGUCGUAAUGGCACUUAUUUGCUGCUUUUUGAACAAGAGGUCUCGCACUUUCAUUUUGAGCUGGGCCCCGCCGAGCCGAGCGCUACAGCAGGAGGGCACCGCAAAAUUACACAGCAAAGGGAGGGGCGAGGAGCUGGGCCCCCGAUGGAAUGCACCACACCCUGCACUUGAUAGUCUGGGAAAUUAUUUAGUUUGGGAGGACAGGAGGGAGCAAAGGCCCUCAAAAUGCUUGGGUCUUUAAAGUUUCUUCUCCAGAGUGAUAAAGGAUGACACAGGAUUCAGUAGGAACCGUUGACCAUAUGUAGAUUCUAUUUUAAAUUUAUAAAUGAGAUAUAAUUUGGAGCCAAUUGCUAGUUUAUCUCUCAACUUCAAACACAAGAAAGUCUUAGCUGGUCUUGCUCACUGCUGACAUCCUUUAGAGGGUUGUUUAAAGGAGACCAUAAAUUACUCUGAUUAGAUAGUCCCUUGAGCUGUAGGGAAAGCUAGAUAGAAGUGAUGGUAGAGAAAACCAG